UACGGAGGUUCCAAGCGUUGUUCGGAAUUACUGGGCGUAAAGGGAGCGCAGGCGGGCAAGUCAGUCUGAAGUGAAAUCCCGGGGCUCAACCUCGGACUUGCUUCGGAUACUGCUUGUCUUGAGUUCGUGAUGGGAAGACGGAAUUCAGGGUGUAGCGGUGAAAUGCACAGAUAUCCUGAGGAACACCGGUGGCGAAAGCGGUCUUCUGGCGCGAAACUGACGCUGAGGCUCGAAAGCGUGGGUAGCAAACGGGAUUAGAUACCCCGGUAGUCCCUGAG
rnacentral:rRNA from 1 species